UCUCUUUACAGAUGGGUGAGGACGGCAGGACAUCAUAUUUGAUGUGAAUCACUCUUGAAAGACAAUAUGCCUUUGAGAGGGAUUCUAGCUACAGCAGCACCAAUUACAUCUAAUCAAUUAAGUACUCAAGUGAAAGUCUUAUCAAGAUUGCCCAUGUUUUAACGUAUUGCAGUAUGUCAUUUAUAUUUUCCUUGCUGACCUCUUAAAUUGGAUUUGGUGCUGCUGUAGUUUCCUGUCGUUGGCGUUACGCAAAAUAUUCAGGCCAUGUAGGCUUUAAUAUAUUGCUCCUCCCCGUGGUCUCACCCGGGAAGAAAUUAUAUGCUUUUAACUGCCUUUUGACAGUUGAAUCACUUUCACUCAGAUCAAAAUUAAAGCUAUUUUUGUAUUCUACUGCCACCAUAGAUAGCAUAUGAUUUCUUGCUAAACGCCUAAAAUAGGGAUUUCCAGGUUUUCAUCUUCAUAAUCUUGUACAACUAUUGUUAAUUAUAGACAUUUAGAAUCUGUUAGCCCCAGGAAGGUGCCGCCAUGGGACCAUAUUUUAUUUGAGGCAAGGUUUCAUUUUGUUGGUACCUGCCCGGCUGUUUGAUUUUACAUAUUAAUCUUUGUUUUCUUUGCUUUCAAGAUAUCGUCAACCACCAAGGAGAUCUUCGGUGCAAAGUUUCAGUUGAAUUUGUGUUGGCGAGUUUCCUCAAGAUUUGUCAUUAAGCUCCGAGUACUGAUUUCACUGCAGGUGCCCUGUCAGAACCAGCUGUUUCCGGUUGCUUCAUGUGGCUAGUCAGCUUAAAGAAGCCUAACAAGAUGCAGCUUUACGACAUGUGCAAAGUUUCUGAAUGCUCUCAUAUCUGAACUGGUGAAGAGGAGAUAUAUUUUAUGAUUUACGCUGUGAUAUUUGACAGCAAGUAUCCUCUGCUGCUGUUUAUGGAUAAAUACUAUGCUAUUCUAUCUAGUUGAUUCUUUUUCUGUAAGCUUUGAAAAUAAACCAAUUACUAUGUA